UACAGCGCGUUUUUUUUUUUUACUCUCCGCCUCGUGCUCAAUUUCCUCUCUGCCUCGCCCCCAACCCUUCUUCCCCCGCGAAUCCUCUCGUCUUCUUCGUCCUCUUUGGUGGGAAACAAGAGAAUGAGAAGAGGGAAAAGAAACGAAAGGAAGGAAGGAGAAGGGGCGUGAGGGUUACAUCUGGUGGCUCCGAUGGCAGAUUUGGUGGCUUCGAGGCGCAUGCGACAAUGUGAAACCAGAACACUGGCAGUGAGCAUGAGGCCAAAAGGCAUCACUUUUCUUAAUUCCUAUUGAUUCAGAACACCGGCAGUGAGCAUGAGGCAAAAA